rnacentral:rRNA from 1 species
GUGCCAGCCGCCGCGGUAAGACGAGGGGUCCAAGCGUUGUCCGGAAUUAUUGGGCGUAAAGAGGGUGUAGGCGGCUUUGCAAGUCAGGAGUGAAAGCCUUGGGCUUAACCCAAGAAGUGCUUUUGAUACUGCAGAGCUUGAGUGCGGAAGAGGGCAGUAGAAUUCCUGGUGUAGCGGUGAAAUGCGUAGAUAUCAGGAGGAAUACCGGAGGCGAAGGCGUCUGCCUGGUCCGACACUGACGCUGGGACCCGAAAGCGUGGGGAGCAAACAGGAUUAGAUACCCUGGUAGUCCACGCCGUAAACAAUGGAUACUUGGUGUUGAUGGAAUUGACCCUAUCAGUGCCGUAGCUAACGCGUUAAGUAUCCCGCCUGGGGAGUACGGUCGCAAGAUUAAAACUCAAAGAAAUUGGCGG